GCAUCGGUGGUUCUGUGGUAGAAUGCUCGCCUGCUACGCGGGCGGCCUGGGUUCGAUUCCCGGCCGAUUCA
rnacentral:tRNA from 1 species